rnacentral:rRNA from 1 species
GAACGAACGCUGGCGGCAUGCCUAACCCAUGCAAGUCGAACGAGACCUUCGGGUCUAGUGGCGCACGGGUGCGUAACGCGUGGGAACCUGCCCUUAGGUUCGGAAUAACUCCCCGAAAGGGGUGCUAAUACCGGAUAAUGUCUUCGGACCAAAGAUUUAUCGCCUUUGGAUGGGCCCGCGUUGGAUUAGCUAGUUGGUAGGGUAAAAGCCUUCCAAGGCGACGAUCCAUAGCUGGUCUGAGAGGAUGAUCAGCCACACUGGGACUGAGACACGGCCCAGAUUCCUAGGGGGGGUAGCGGUGGACAAUAGGGCACAAGGGGAGGAGCCCGGAUCCACCGAGGCGGGGUGAGUGAGGUAGGACUUAGGUUUGUAAAGUUCUUGGACCAGGUAGAAUAACAAUAGGACGGGGAGAAACAGCGCCUGCAACCUCCGGGACAGCAGGGGCGAUAAUAGAGGGAGGACAACCCAUCCCAUC